GGAAUAUUGGUCAAUGGGCGCAAGCCUGAACCAGCCAUGCCGCGUGCAGGAUGACGGUCCUAUGGAUUGUAAACUGCUUUUGCACAGGAAGAAACACUACCUCGUGAGGUAGCUUGACGGUACUGUGGGAAUAAGGAUCGGCUAACUCCGUGCCAGCAGCCGCGGUAAUACGGAGGAUCCAAGCGUUAUCCGGAAUCAUUGGGUUUAAAGGGUCUGUAGGCGGUCUAAUAAGUCAGUGGUGAAAGCCCAUCGCUCAACGAUGGAACGGCCAUUGAUACUGUUAGACUUGAAUUACUUGGAAGUAACUAGAAUAUGUAGUGUAGCGGUGAAAUGCUUAGAGAUUAUAUGGAAUACCAAUUGCGAAGGCAGGUUACUACAAGUGGAUUGACGCUGAUGGACGAAAGCGUGGGUAGCGAACAGGAUUAGAUACCCCAG
rnacentral:rRNA from 1 species